GGUUCAAUGAUGUCUCCCACAAAUGCAUUCCUUGGAAAUCUGAAAAAAAUGAGUGAGAAUUCCCAAAUGUCACCUAAUUGGAACUGAGGUCC